AGUGAACGCUGGCGGUAGGCCUAACACAUGCAAGUCGAACGGCAGCACAGUAAGAGCUUGCUCUUACGGGUGGCGAGUGGCGGACGGGUGAGGAAUACAUCGGAAUCUACUUUUUCGUGGGGGAUAACGUAGGGAAACUUACGCUAAUACCGCAUACGACCUACGGGUGAAAGCAGGGGAUCUUCGGACCUUGCGCGAUUGAAUGAGCCGAUGUCGGAUUAGCUAGUUGGCGGGGUAAAGGCCCACCAAGGCGACGAUCCGUAGCUGGUCUGAGAGGAUGAUCAGACACACUGGAAAUGAGACACGGUCCAGACUCCUAAGGGAGGCAGAAGUGGGGAAUAUUGGACAAUGGGCGCAAGCCUGAUCCAGCCAUACCGCGUGGGUGAAGAAGGCCUUCGGGUUGUAAAGCCCUUUUGUUGGGAAAGAAAAGCAGCAGGUUAAUACCCCGCUGUUCUGACGGUACCCAAAGAAUAAGCACCGGCUAACUUCGUG
rnacentral:rRNA from 1 species